rnacentral:lncRNA from 1 species
UACCUGAUGUUAGUUUUGAAAGUUUAGGUCUUAAGUUAGAACUCCUGUCUCUGCAGGACACUUGUAUUGCCUAUGAACAAGAGAAUGAAUUUUGAAGAACUGUUCAUCUUUCUGAAGGAAGAACUAAAUCAAAUGCUGAUCAGUAUUGCUCAGUGAGGGGACCUCUCUGGAGUCUGAAGUCCUUCCUGGAAUAUGGUCCAACCAUCAGUUAUUGGUUACUUCUGCAAGGUACUUCAUGACAGACAUCAACAGAGAUGUGAAGUUGAGGAAAAUAAAUUGUUGGCCCAAAGUCAUUCAGCAGAGCAAUAGUAGAGCCUUGAGCUGGGUUAAGUACUUCAACCAAUAUAACAUUCUCCUCAGGAGAGAAGAAUUUGCUUUGAGGACCCUUAGAAAAUUCAGUGUUUAUUUGACAAGACUUUCUAAAUGUAUACAGUCUUGGAACUGAGUAUUCCUUCUUUUCAGAGGAUAUCAACUUAAACAUUAAAGGAAGACACAAGAAAAUGUCAAGAUCAUGGUGAUAAUAUUUGCUUGCAGAAGAAAUGGCCAGAGCAGUGACAACUUUGGGCAGCAACUGUUUAAAUCACCCUGUGGAGGUGUCCCUUGGGGAGACCUCACUCUGGAUUUGUUGGUAGUGAAAUCAUUGACUUGUACCUUUACUUUCGUCACAUAUCCUGUGGAGACUUCUGCGCAAACCCAGCUUACAGACUCUCUUUGAAGGCAAGAUGAGAAUGCUCUCUUCUCUGGCACUGAGAAGCACAAGUCUUAAAACUACCUCUCAGUGAUGCUUUCAGCAGACAGGUGCAUGGUGGACCAAUGAGUGUCUACUCCUCAUCCCUCCAGUGCCAGUGGAUAUGGGAUAGAAAUCACAUGAAUGUUUUCAGCAUUGUGUCACCAUCAUUGUCCCUGUUACUUUGCCAGAAGAGCUCCUUUCUUUGCAGAGGUAUACAGACAAAGUGAUCAGUAUGUCUGUUUAAGAUUUGUAAUAAGUAAAAAAUAAAUAUUUACUCUGAAGCUUGAGUCA